rnacentral:rRNA from 1 species
UACAGAGGGGGCAAGCGUUGUUCGGAAUUACUGGGCGUAAAGGGCGCGUAGGCGGCCUGCUAAGUCGAACGUGAAAUCCCCGGGCUCAACCCGGGAACUGCGUCCGAUACUGGCAGGCUUGAAUCUGGGAGAGGGAUGUGGAAUUCCAGGUGUAGCGGUGAAAUGCGUAGAUAUCUGGAGGAACACCGGUGGCGAAGGCGGCAUCCUGGACCGGCAUUGACGCUGAGGCGCGAAAGCCAGGGGAGCAAACGGG